rnacentral:tRNA from 1 species
GAGGUUGUGGCUCAAAGGUAGAGCGCUUGCCUAGUGUGUACGGGGCACUAGGUUCAAUUCUCAGCACCUCA